rnacentral:rRNA from 1 species
UGCGUAGGUGGCCUUUUAAGUUGGAUGUGAAAUACCCGGGCUUAACUUGGGGGGUGCAUCUAAUACUGGAGGGCUAGAGUGCAGGAGAGGGAAGCGGAAUUCCUAGUGUAGCGGUGAAAUGCGUAGAUAUUAGGAGGAACACCAGUGGCGAAGGCGGCUUUCUGGACUGUAACUGACACUGAGGCACGAAAGCGUGGGGAGCAAACA